GACAGAGGGUGCAAACGUUGUUCGGAAUUACUGGGCGUAAAGCGUGCGCAGGCGGUGCUGUAAGACCGAUGUGAAAUCCCCGGGCUUAACCUGGGAACUGCAUUGGUGACUGCAGCGCUGGAGUAUGGCAGAGGGGGGUGGAAUUCCACGUGUAGCAGUGAAAUGCGUAGAGAUGUGGAGGAACACCGAUGGCGAAGGCAGCCCCCUGGGCCAAUACUGACGCUCAUGCACGAAAGCGUGGGGAGCAAACAGG
rnacentral:rRNA from 1 species